AGGAUAGUAGUUAAAUAUAACAUUUGGUUUGCAUUCAAAAAGUAUUGGAUUUUCCCAAUCUAUCUUA
rnacentral:tRNA from 1 species